AGCCUUGUUAAGAUGAGGUUCUAUUUAGCUCUAUUAAAUGUGCUUCUUUUUUGUUCAACAAUACACGGACACGAGGUCUGCCCUGGCAGACACAGCCCGAUGUGUGGCAAGAAUGGAACAUGCUACUUAACCUUUGCCAACGAAUGUAUUCGCAAUCUCUUCAACAGACAGCAAGCUGCAAAUAACUUAAAAAUAUUCGUGGUAGUGCAGAGGACAGCUUGCACUCCUCGCGAAAUGCCCCUAUGUAGGUUUCGUCAAAUGACAAACUGGAGUUUCAGCGAAACCCUUGAAAGAAGCCCGAAACUAGUUUCGAACAUAAACUAAAUAUAAGUAAUUGGAAAGAAACUAUGAUGUAUCUACUCUUGAACCGCAGAAAGAUUAUAAUAAAGGAGUUCCCAUAUCCAUA
rnacentral:sRNA from 15 species